UACGUAGGGGGCUAGCGUUGUCCGGAAUCAUUGGGCGUAAAGAGCGCGUAGGCGGCUAGAUAAGUCCGGUGUGAAAGUCACAGGCUCAACCUGUGAAUGCCGCUGGAAACUGUCUGGCUAGAGUCCGGAAGGGGCGAGUGGAAUUCCUGGUGUAGCGGUGAAAUGCGUAGAUAUCAGGAGGAAUACCGGUGGCGAAAGCGACUCUCUGGACGGCAACUGACGCUGAGGCACGAAAGCGUGGGGAGCAAACAGG
rnacentral:rRNA from 1 species